rnacentral:rRNA from 1 species
UACGUAGGGUGCAAGCGUUGUCCGGAUUUAUUGGGCGUAAAGAGCGUGUAGGCGGUUUGGUAGGUCCGCUGUGAAAACUCGAGGCUCGACCUCGAGACGCCGGUGGAAACCAUCAGACUAGAGUCCGGAAGAGGAGAGUGGAAUUCCUGGUGUAGCGGUGAAAUGCGCAGAUAUCUGGAGGAACACCGAUGGCGAAGGCAGCCCCCUGGGCUAACACUGACGCUCAGGCACGAAAGCGUGGGGAGCAAACAGG